GGUCAGGGUUUGGCUGUUGUGUAUUCCCAGAUGAUUAGUGGACUGCAGCCUGCCAGAAGAAGUGCGCAGAGUUCAGGGACGUACUGCGGCCAACUCCGGCGUUGAAGGUAUGGGGUUGGACUGGCCUGGUUGCAUUGAAGAAGAGCAGACCGUCACCAGUAGGCAGCAGUUGUGUGAUGCACUGCGGUCAAUCCCUGACGUGCAGCAGGAGAGGAGGUGUAUGCUGACCCGGGAGGAUCCCAACAGCAGUCAAGUAGAGAAGAUGAGGACGCGCAGGAAGCAGCAGAGCCCAGCCCAGCCCUUCGCAGCCCAGCCCAGCAGAUGAUCCAGUGCAGCCCAACCCAGCCAGCCCAGCCCACCAGAGGAUCCAAUGCCGCAACCAGGCAGCCUAACAGAGAAGCAUUUUGAAUUUAUUUCUUUCCUUCUGUCUCUCCUCUGUCUUCUGAGCACUUUCCUAAUCUAACAGUACUAACCAUCCCCUACCCCUUAACAUUGAUUUUGUUGUAAUUUCCUUGAAUUUGUGUGCUUUGUUUCAUUGUUUUGAAUGUUUACUAAUCUCGUCUCAGUUGUAUAUUUUCAGGCACUCGGACGUGGUACAACGCAGGAGCACCCAGCCAGCCUCCACCCAGCCAGCCACAGAUGAAGAGGAAGGAGCCCAUUGCCCAGCUUUGUCUAGCGGCUUACAUUUGCCAAGGCGGAGCGUCGAUCCCACUGAGACGUUGAGCAGCAUUCUGGGAAGCAAGGAUCGACUGCGACCGCACAUUGAAGAGAGGAUAUGCAGUGUAAUGCAUCCCUCUGUUCACAGUCCUUUGAAGAGGAGUCUGCCAACCCAGGGACGGUAAG